AACCUGAAUGUGUGUUAAGUGAUUGCAGCUGCAGUCAACUUGUGCUUUGCUAGAAGUGUUUAGAUAUAUGGAUGUAGAUGGAGAAAAUAGUAAGUCUUUAUGGGAAGCAAGUUCUAAAUGUUUUUACUUGGAUAUAAAUCUGUGUGCGUCUGACCUUAGUAAACAUGGAAGUAUGUUUGAGACAUAAUAGGUGGGGUUUUUUAUUGAUUUUUUUUAGUCUGGAUCAAUCAGUCCUUUUUCUUUUUAAGAUUGGUUUAGCCCUAAUGGGCUUUAAUGAGCAGUGACUUGACAGGAAAAAGGGUGGAGAGAUCAGAGGAAGACAUGCUUCAAAUGGCUUGAGACCAGGAAUCGAACCAGUUGAUGAUAUGCCGGGAAUGUGCUGAUUUUAUACAAUGUGGGUUCCACAAAUAAGCAGCUGCCUCUUUAAUGGUCAUUACUAGGUCAUUUUUCCUGUGCAAUUUUUCUUCACUUCAUUAUUAUAGACAGCGGUGUAAGUAAUCAAAACAUCCUUAAAUUUAACUUAUUGAACCUGUGAAAAAAUGAGACAAAUAAUCAUAGAAUGAAAAAAAUUAGGAGUGUUUCUAUACUGAUUGUCCAAAGAACUGCAGUAUCUCUUGUAACCAGUAGAGUGCAGUGUGAUAACGCACACACGAACCAAAGUCAGUUUGAAGUUGAGAGGUUAGAAAGAUGUGUGAAUAAUCAUGGAUUAUUUAUUCCUAAACCAGUUAGUUUUUGAUGUCCUAAUGGUUGGUUUCUUGAAGUCAUGUUUCAAAUAAGGAUAUGAAAUAAUUCUUCUUUUUCUAAUCCUACUUGUCAGUAGUUGUUUUCACAUAUAGUUAUGUUUUUUCUUUCAUUUUUAACUCAUCUAAAAAAAAAUUUUAAGUUAUGUCACCAUUCGUUUUUUUUCUCUGUUAACAGUGAGUUAAUUGGUCUGAGUACGAACUGCUCUGACAGCGACAGACUUUAUAGCAGAGCACCACAGGACUUGGCGGAUUAAGAGCCAUCUCACAAAGUCCCAUUAAGGCAUCGCUGCAGCAAAAUGUAGUGGUUAACAGGAUCUGUCUCAGGACUCGUAUGUAAAAUGACUCUGUUCACUUUGUGAAGUCCUUGAGCAUGUUAGCAUUUUAUGUGUAUUCUACUGUGUUUUCAGGCAGAGUACCCUCCGAUCCCUCAGCUGGAUUUCUCCUUGCUCACUUUAUUGAACUGGCUUUGUCGAUGUUUAGGUUUGGGAGGAGGGAGCAAGAAGUUAUUUUGGGAUUCAAUUAUUUUCCUGCUGAUUUACACAUUUGUUUCCGAGCUAAAAUCAAUUGUGGAUCUGUGUGUGACUUUGCGUAUUUAUGUCUCUUAGAGAUAAGCUUGCAUUUGUGUGGAGGGUGCAGAGAUGUUGGACCUUAAGGGCGAAGAGAAAUAUAAACACAACAGCAGAAAAAGACGGUACUGCCUGCAAGACAGACUGUCAUAAUGUCAUCUCUGCUGGAUAUAGUCAUAUUCAAUAAAUUAGAAUAUGCGUUCCAGUAGGUAUUAAACACACUUUUCAUUAAGCUCACAUUUCUGCACGGUUUUUAAUUGCUCUAAUACCGCCUACAUGUCAUGUUUUCAAUAGCUCAAAGUGGAAAAUCAUCAAAAUUAACAGCAACAAAAGCUUAAGUUUAUCAGUCUCUGAGUUAUUAAUAUACAAAAUGUGUUUCAAUUAGUGAACUGACUUACUGGAGUACAUAAACUUUUCAAUCAUAUUAAAAUUUGACGAUUGCUGAAUAUCUAGCAUAUGAAUAGAUAUCCUUUGUUACAUUAAAAAUGCAUAAGUCUUUCACGUGG